GGAGAGAUGGCUGAGUAUGGUUGAAAGCGCUCGCCUGGAACGCGGGUAGGCAUUUAUUGUCUCGUGGGUUCAAAUCCCACUUUCUCCG
rnacentral:tRNA from 1 species